GAUGAACGCUGGCGGCGUGCCUAACACAUGCAAGUCGAACGGAGUGUCGAGAGCUUGCUUUUGACACUUAGUGGCGGACGGGUGAGUAAUGUAUGAGCAACCUGCCUUUCAGAGGGGGACAACAGUUGGAAACGACUGCUAAUACCGCAUAAUGUACGAGGGGGGCAUCCCUUUUGUACCAAAGGAGCAAUCCGCUGAAAGAUGGGCUCAUAUCUGAUUAGCUAGUUGGCAGGGUAACGGCCUACCAGGACUGCGAUCAGUAGCCGGACUGAGAGGUUGAACGGCCACAUUGGGACUGAGAUACGGCCCAGACUCCUACGGGAGGCAGCAGUGGGGAAUAUUGGGCAAUGGGCGAAAGCCUGACCCAGCAACGCCGCGUGAAGGAAGAAGGUCUUCGGAUUGUAAACUUCUUUUAUGAGGGACGAAGGACGUGACGGUACCUCAUGAAUAAGCCACGGCUAACUACGUGCCAGCCGCCGCGGUAACAC
rnacentral:rRNA from 1 species